rnacentral:rRNA from 1 species
CCUACGGGAGGCAGCAGUAGGGAAUCUUGUGCAAUGGGCGAAAGCCUGACACAGCAACUCCGCGUGCGGGAAGAAGGCCUUAUGGUUGUAAACCGCUUUUGGCAGGAACGAAAAUGACGGUACCUGCAGAAUAAGGUGCGGCCAACUACGUGCCAGCAGCCGCGGUGACACGUAGGCACCAAGCGUUGUCCGGAUUUAUUGGGCGUAAAGAGCUCGUAGGCGGUUCAGUUAGUCGGGUGUGAAAACUCUGGGCUUAACCCGGAGACGCCACUCGAUACUGCUGGGCUAGAAUUCGGUAGGGGAGUGGGGAAUUCCUGGUGUAGCGGUGAAAUGCGCAGAUAUCAGGAGGAACACCGGUGGCGAAGGCGCCACUCUGGGCCGACAUUGACGCUGAGGAGCGAAAGCGUGGGUAGCAAACAGGAUUAGAUACCCUGGUAGUCCACGCCGUAAACCGGUGGGCGACUAGGUGUGGGUUCCGAACCAACGGAAUCCGUGCCGUCGCAAACGCAUAAGUGCCCGCCUGGGGAGGUACGGCGCGAGUAAACGUACGAAGAAGUAGACGCGNGAGACGUGCCGACGACGACGACGAGGGAGGUAGG